UACGUAGGGGGCGAGCGUUGUCCGGAUUCACUGGGCGUAAAGGGUCUGUAGGUGGCCAACUAAGUCAGACGUGAAAUCCCUCAGCUUAACUGGGGAACUGCGUCUGAUACUGGAUGGCUUGAGUGUGGGAGAGGAAUGCGGAAUUCCAGGUGUAGCGGUGAAAUGCGUAGAUAUCUGGAGGAACACCGGUGGCGAAGGCGGCAUUCUGGACCAUAACUGACACUGAGAGACGAAAGCCAGGGGAGCAAACGGG
rnacentral:rRNA from 1 species